rnacentral:lncRNA from 1 species
GCUGGGGGAAGCCAUCAGAAGGCAGUUGGAUGUGACUUGAAGCACAAUGGGAAGCCCAUAGGGGAGCUUUAAGGCGGGGGUGGGGGGGGGGGGGUCACAGCAGAAUCUGAAUUACAUAUUUUAUUUUUUUUAAUUUUUUUUCAACGUUUUUUUAUUUAUUUUUGGGACAGAGAGAGACAGAGCAUGAACGGGGGAGGGGCAGAGAGAGAGGGAGACACAGAAUCGGAAACAGGCUCCAGGCUCCGAGCCAUCAGCCCAGAGCCCGACGCGGGGCUCCAACUCACGGACCGCGAGAUCGCGAGAUCGCGAGAUCGCGAGAUCGUGACCUGGCCACGGACCGCGAGAUCAUGACCUGGCUAAAGUCGGACGCUUAACCGACUGUGCCACCCAGGCGCCCCAUGAAUUACAUAUUUUAAAAGGCUCCCGGCUGCAGCUGCUCUUUUCAUCCGUGCGGAGAAUAAUCGAGAAUAAUCUGUCCGGCGAAGGCCAAGAGAGGAAGAGGGGAGAGAAGUUGGAGGCUGUCACCGUGAGGAAUGACAGGCGCUCUGGCCGGGAUAGGACAGCGGAUACAGAGGAUGGAUUUGGUGCAUGUUGCAGAGUUCAAGUCUAUGGGAUUCGCCCACGGCCUGAAGGGGCCACCGGCCGGUUCAUUUGUUCAGCAAAGACGUGGGGCCUGCUCUGCGCCAGGUCCCUGGCAGGCCGGGGGAAGAGCAGUGAGAUGUGGCCCCCGCCCUCAGACGUGGCAUAACGCAGGUGACAGACAUGUCAGGUAUGCGAUCGAUGACAGACCGGGGUGCGGGCAGGCCGGGAAGUUUGGAGGGGGGCACGGGGCUCCUCAGGUGAGGUAGCAGUGGGGGAAGCUUCCUUGAGAAAGAAGGAUCUGAAGGAUGAGGCGACUUGAACCGGGGCCAAGGGCAGAAAAGGGAAGAGUGUUUCAGGCAGAGAGAACGGCAUGUGUGCGGGUGUUUGAAGGGAGGCUCUGUGGCCAGAGUGGAGGGGACGGGGCGGGCGAGCGGAUGUGGAGGAGGCUGGGGCCAUCCCACGCGGUUGCGGGGCUUGAACAGAGGAGCGCCCAGGACCCCGGUCGCUGAGUGGGCCCGGCUGGAUGUGGCUGUGGAGACACAGAGAAGGAAGCGUGGGGCUCCAGGUGACCGACCGCCUGGACCAAGCUUUCAUUUUGAUUCUAGAAAAACAAGGUGCUGUGGUAUUUCUGGUGCCUGGAGCUUCUGGAGGAAAAGUCACACCCACCCCAUGCACAUGAAUGCAUAAAAAACCUCUGGAAGGCUCCACAGCAAAACCUCAGUGGUCUUUAUCUCUUGGUGCUGAGGGCGUGAGUCGUUGUUUUGCUCUUCCUUUCGGUGUUUUCGUGUUUUUGCAUUCUGUCUUAAACAUGGACUACUUGUGAAAUGACACGUCCUAAUAAAUUAAAAAGAAAAAAGUCUUGCCCUGAAGAC